GGAGAAACCAUGGCUAGGGUUUUUCAAGCUUCCAAGCUCGAUUGUUUUGGUCAAGAUGUGGUUGGAUUAUGCCACAUUAAACUUAUAAGUUAUGCAUUGAGAUGGAAAUGGAAUGCUUUGAGGCAGCCUUGAAGACCAAACUUAAAAAGGAAAUUGCUUUAAAAUCAAGCCCUAAGCUUCUUUCUUUUUUAGGAUAUUAGAAUUGUUGUCAAUAUAGGAGGAUAUAGGUUUGAGUGUGGUGAAUCGCAUUAUCCUCUUAUUUAUGGGUUGGGGAGGGGCUAUGAAUAGUUUUAACCAUUGUAUCUAAAAGAAUAGAUAUAACCAGAACCUAUAAUGAGAUUAUUCAAAAAAAUUAAAUAAAAAUUAUAAUUCUUAAUCAUUAAUGUAAAAAGAUUAACCCAAAUUGAUAAAAAAAG